rnacentral:rRNA from 1 species
UCUACUAGUUGUCGGGUCUUAUUGACUUGGUAACGCAGCUAACGCGUGAAGUAGACCGCCUGGGGAGUACGGUCGCAAGAUUAAAACUCAAAGGAAUUGACGGGGACCCGCACAAGCGGUGGAUGAUGUGGAUUAAUUCGAUGCAACGCGAAAAACCUUACCUACCCUUGACAUGUACAGAAUCCCGAAGAGAUUUGGGAGUGUUCGAAAGAAAACUGUAACACAGGUGCUGCAUGGCUGUCGUCAGCUCGUGUCGUGAGAUGUUGGGUUAAGUCCCGCAACGAGCGCAACCCUUGUCAUUAGUUGCUACGAAAGGGCACUCUAAUGAGACUGCCGGUGACAAACCGGAGGAAGGUGGGGAUGACGUCAAGUCCUCAUGGCCCUUAUGGGUAGGGCUUCACACGUCAUACAAUGGUACAUACAGAGGGCCGCCAACCCGCGAGGGGGAGCUAAUCCCAGAAAGUGUAUCGUAGUCCGGAUUGUAGUCUGCAACUCGACUACAUGAAGUUGGAAUCGCUAGUAAUCGCGGAUCAGCAUGUCGCGGUGAAUACGUUCCCGGGUCUUGCACUCACCGCCCGUCAAAA